GCACCUGUGGCGGAACUGGCAGACGCGUAUGGUUCAGGUCCAUAUGAGCGCAAGCUCAUGGGGGUUCAAGUCCCUUCAGGUGCAC
rnacentral:tRNA from 1 species